rnacentral:sRNA from 1 species
UUAAGACCGAAGACAGUAGGUGCCGCAAGGCGUAAAUGAAGAUGCCUACCGAGGAUUUAAGGACAUUUAGUAUGUUUAUUCAGCCCUUUUUGUUUUCGGACAAAGAGGGCUUUUUUGAUAUA